rnacentral:rRNA from 1 species
AAACGUAGGGGGCAAGCGUUGUCCGGAUUCACUGGGCGUAAAGGGUCCGUAGGCGGCUCACUAAGUCGGACGUGAAAGACCCUGGCUCAACUGGGGAAUUGCGUCCGAAACUGGCGGGCUAGAGCCCAGGAGAGGAAGGUAGAAUUCCCGGUGUAGCGGUGAAAUGCGCAGAUAUCGGGAGGAACACCAGUGGGGAAGCCGGCCUUCUGGCCUGUGGCUGACGCUGAGGGACGAAAGCCAGGGGAGCGAACCGGAUUAGAUACCCGGGUAGUCCUGGCCGUAAACGAUGGGCGCUAGGUGUCGGGGAGAACUUACUUCUCGGUGCCGCAGCUAACGUAUUAAGCGCCCCGCCUGGGGAGUACGGUCGCAAGACUGAA